UACGUAGGGGGCAAGCGUUGUCCGGAUUUAUUGGGCGUAAAGAGCGUGUAGGCGGCUAGGCAGGUCCGUUGUGAAAACUCGAGGCUCAACCUCGAGACGCCGAUGGAAACCAUCUAGCUAGAGUCCGGAAGAGGAGAGUGGAAUUCCUGGUGUAGCGGUGAAAUGCGCAGAUAUCAGGAAGAACACCCGUGGCUAAGGCGGCUCUCUAGUACGGUACUGACGCUGAGACGCGAAAGCGUGGGGAGCGAACAGG
rnacentral:rRNA from 1 species